CAAGAGAAAAACAAAUAAGAAAUAAUAAUAAUAAUAAUAAUAAUAAUUUGAAAAGAAAAUGGCAAAACACAAACCUCUGUUUUUGGUGAGGUUACAAAACUGGGUCAGUGUGCGGUUGGCCAAAAGCUAGAGGUGCAGCCGUGUAGGAGUUGGGUCUUCUUCAAUUGGGAGGCAUUAUUUUAUCAUCUCAAAUCCAACCAAAAAAAAAAGGUUAUCUUCAAUUAAUUUUCUAAAAAAUCCAAAUUCACAAUUCAACACAAAAGUUAAAAAUUAAUGAUAUCAAUAAUUUUAGGAGAGAAAUUGGAAACAAAAGAACAAUUAUAACAAAAAUUUAAAAUCCCAAAAGCAAAAAUUGUGAAUUACCUUCAUGAAACCAUUUUUGGGACCCAUCAAUUUCUUUUGUCAAACUCAAGUCAUUUGGAGAUUCAAUUGCUCAAAAAGUUAAAGGAUGAUUAUGUUAUAUGAUUUCUAAGGAAAUUUUGAGGGAUUAGGACUUUACUUGCUUUGAUGUGUGAAGACUAGAGAGAGACGGAUUGAGGAGAGAAGAAAACAAAAGCUUCGACUUUGGCUGUUAGGUGAAAGCUGAGAGAGAGGCAAAAGGAUUUUAGAAUUAAUUUUAGAAUUUCAUUUUUUUGUUUGGCGGUAGAUCUAGAUUUCCGCUUUAUUUUUCUCUCUUUUUUUGUAGCAUUUAUGGUGUGCUACUAAAUUAAUAUUUAUAUUGUAGCUUUUCC
rnacentral:lncRNA from 1 species